rnacentral:rRNA from 1 species
AGUAACACGUAUGCAACCUGCCUGCCACAGCCGGAUAAUCGGGAGAAAUUCCGUCUAAUACGGCAUAAUGCAUCGACGGGACAUCCUGUUGGUGCCAAAGGUUGAUUCCGGUGGCAGAUGGGCAUGCGUCGCAUUAGUUAGUUGGCGGUGUAACGGACCACCAAGACGACGAUGCGUAGGGGUUCUGAGAGGAAGGUCCCCCACACUGGUACUGAGACACGGACCAGACUCCUACGGGAGGCAGCAG